rnacentral:rRNA from 1 species
AAUAGAUACCCGGGUAGUCCACGCCGUAAACGAUGGAUACUAGCUGUCCGGUCGCAAGAUUGAGUGGCUAAGCGAAAGUGAUAAGUAUCCCACCUGGGGAGUACGAACGCAAGUUUGAAACUCAAAGGAAUUGACGGGGGCCCGCACAAGCGGUGGAGCAUGUGGUUUAAUUCGAUGAUACGCGAGGAACCUUACCAAGGCUUAAAUGUAUAUUGACAGGACUGGAAACAGUUUUUUCUUCGGACAAUUUACAAGGUGCUGCAUGGUUGUCGUCAGCUCGUGCCGUGAGGUGUCAGGUUAAGUCCUAUAACGAGCGCAACCCCUGUUGUUAGUUGCCAGCGAGUCAAGUCGGGAACUCUAACAAGACUGCCAGUGUAAACUGUGAGGAAGGUGGGGAUGACGUCAAAUCAUCACGGCCCUUACGCCUUGGGCUACACACGUGCUACAAUGGCCGGUACAGAGAGCAGCCACUGCGCGAGCAGGAGCGAAUCUAUAAAACCGGUCACAGUUCGGAUCGGAGUCUGCAACUCGACUCCG